rnacentral:lncRNA from 1 species
AUAUGUAUCGAAGCUAAUUUCAUAGACGAUUUAAGGACAUAUCACACUUGAAUGAAAAAAAAUUACCCUUUUAUUGAUCAUAUUAAUAUAUCAAGCAUAAAAUUAUAUCCUAAAUUUAUUACAAUGUGUCAGUCAUAUUGGCUUCUAGGAUAUAUAUCUAACAAGGAUAAGUCCUAAAAUAGUAAGGACAAGUCUUAUUUUAGGACAAAGGUCUAGGAAGAGAUAUAAGCAAGAUAAGGAGACAAGAAAGGUAA